AAUGAACGCUGGCGGCAGGCCUAACACAUGCAAGUCGAACGGAUCCUUCGGGAUUAGUGGCGGAUGGGUGAGUAACGCGUGGGAACAUACCCUUUGGUACGGAAUAGCCUCGGGAAACUGGGAGUAAUACCGUAUGUGGUCGAGAGACGAAAGAUUUAUCGCCAAAGGAUUGGCCCGCGUUGGAUUAGGUAGUUGGUGGGGUAAUGGCCUACCAAGCCGACGAUCCAUAGCUGGUUUGAGAGGAUGAUCAGCCACACUGGGACUGAGACAUGGCCCAGACUCCUACGGGAGGCAGCAGUGGGGAAUCUUAGACAAUGGGGGAAACCCUGAUCUAGCCAUGCCGCGUGAUCGAUGAAGGCCUUAGGGUUGUAAAGAUCUUUCAGGUGGGAAGAUAAUGACUGUACCACCAGAAGAAGCCCCGGCUAACUCCGUGCCAGCAGCCGCCGUAA
rnacentral:rRNA from 1 species